GGGGGCUUCAAUAUGAGGCGGGCUGGACCUCUCGGGGUUACAGCCUUGCUGAAUUAUUCACCCUUGUCUUUUGCGUACUUCUUGUUUCCUUGGUGGGUUCGCCCACCACUAGGACAAACAUAAACCUUUUGUAAUUGCAAUCAGCGUCAGUAACAAAUUAAUAAUUACAACUUUCAACAACGGAUCUCUUGGUUCUGGCAUCGAUGAAGAACGCAGCGAAAUGCGAUAAGUAGUGUGAAUUGCAGAAUUCAGUGAAUCAUCGAAUCUUUGAACGCACAUUGCGCCCUUUGGUAUUCCAAAGGGCAUGCCUGUUCGAGCGUCAUUUGUACCCUCAAGCUUUGCUUGGUGUUGGGCGUCUUGUCUCUAGCUUUGCUGGAGACUCGCCUUAAAGUAAUUGGCAGCCGGCCUACUGGUUUCGGAGCGCAGCACAAGUCGCACUCUCUAUCAGCAAAGGUCUAGCAUCCACUAAGCCUUUUUUUCAACUUUUGACCUCGGAUCAGGUAGGGAUACCCGCUGAACUUAAGCAUAUCAAUAAGCGGAGGAGGGAUCAUUACACAAAUAUGAAGGCGGGCUGGAACCUCUCGGGGUUACAGCCUUGCUGAAUUAUUCACCCUUGUCUUUUGCGUACUUCUUGUUUCCUUGGUGGGUUCGCCCACCACUAGGACAAACAUAAACCUUUUGUAAUUGCAAUCAGCGUCAGUAACAAAUUAAUAAUUACAACUUUCAACAACGGAUCUCUUGGUUCUGGCAUCGAUGAAGAACGCAGCGAAAUGCGAUAAGUAGUGUGAAUUGCAGAAUUCGUGAAUCAUCGAAUCUGUGAACGCACAUUGCGCCUUUGGUAUUCCAAGGGCAUGCCUGUUCGAGCGUCAUUUGUACCUCAGCUUGCUGGUGAUGGGCGUCUUGUCUCUAGCUUUGCUGGAGACUCGACUUAAGUAAUUGGCAGCUGCUACUGGUUUCGGAGCGCACACAGUCGCAUUUCUAUCACAGAGGUCAAGCC
rnacentral:rRNA from 1 species